rnacentral:rRNA from 1 species
AUUGAACGCUGGCGGCAUGCUUUACACAUGCAAGUCGAACGGUAACAGGCCGCAAGGUGCUGACGAGUGGCGAACGGGUGAGUAAUGCAUCGGAACGUGCCCAGUCGUGGGGGAUAACGCAGCGAAAGCUGCGCUAAUACCGCAUACGAUCUAUGGAUGAAAGCGGGGGACCGUAAGGCCUCGCGCGAUUGGAGCGGCCGAUGUCAGAUUAGGUAGUUGGUGGGGUAAAGGCUCACCAAGCCAACGAUCUGUAGCUGGUCUGAGAGGAUGACCAGCCACACUGGGACUGGGACACGGCACAGACUCCUACGGGAGGCAGCAGUGGGGAAUUUUGGACAAUGGGCGCAAGCCUGAUCCAGCAAUGCCGCGUGCAGGAAGAAGGCCUUCGGGUUGUAAACUGCUUUUGUACGGAACGAAACGGCUCUCUCUAAUACAGGUGGUUAAUGACGGUACCGUAAGAAUAAGCACCGGCUAACUACGUGCCAGCAGCCGCAGUAAUAC